AACGAACGCCGGCGGCAGGCUUAACACAUGCAAGUCGAACGCCCCGCAAGGGGAGUGGCAGACGGGUGAGUAACGCGUGGGAAUCUACCUAGUUCUACGGAACAACAGUUGGAAACGACUGCUAAUACCGUAUACGCCCGACGGGGGAAAGAUAUAUCGGAAUUAGAUGAGCCCGCGUAAGCUUAGCUAGUUGGUGAGGUAAUGGCUCACCAAGGCGACGAUCUUUAGCUGGUCUGAGAGGAUGAUCAGCCACACUGGGACUGAGACACGGCCCAGACUCCUACGGGAGGCAGCAGUGGGGAAUAUUGGACAAUGGGCGCAAGCCUGAUCCAGCCAUGCCGCGUGAGUGAUGAAGGCCUUAGGGUUGUAAAGCUCUUUCACCGAUGAAGAUAAUGACGGUAGUCGGAGAAGAAGCCCCGGCUAACUUCGUGCCAGCCGCCGCCGUAACAC
rnacentral:rRNA from 1 species